UUUCCGGUUGAUCCUGCCGGAGGCUACCGCUAUUGGAUUUCGAUUAAGCCAUGCGAGUCGCGAGUCUUAGGGACUCGGCGUACCGCUCAGUAACACGUGGGUAACCUGCCCUAUGCUGGGGGAUAACCUCGUGAAAUUGAGAAUAAUACCCCAUAGUUCACCACGCCUGGAACGGUGGGUGGACCAAAGUUCCGGCGGCAUAGGAUGGGCCUGCGGCGUAUCAGGUUGCAGGGGGUGUAAUGUACCCUCUAGCCCUCUACGCGUACGGGUGUUGAGAGACAUCGCCCGGAGAUGGAUUCUGAGACACGAAUCCAGACCCCACGGGGUGCAGCAGGCGCGAAAACUUGGCAAUGCGAGAAAUCGUGACCAGGGAACUCCAAGUGCAUCGGGUAAGACCGAUGCUUUUCUUGACUCUUCAAAGGUCUUGGAAUAAGGGGUGGGUAAGGACGGUGCCAGCCGCCGCGGUAAUACCGGCGCCCCAAGUGGUAGUCGCUUUUAUUGGGCCUAAAACGUCCGUAGCCGGUCUGGUACAUUCGUGGGUAAAUCAACCAGCUCAACUGGUUGAAUUCUGCGAGCACGGCCAGACUUGGGACCGGGAGAGGUGUGGGGUACUCUCUGGGUAGGGGUAAAAUCCUGUCAUCCUGAGAGGACCACCUGUUGCGAAGGCGCCACACCAGAACGGAUCCGACGGUCAGGGACGAAGCCUAGGGGCACGAACCGGAUUAGAUACCCGGGUAGUCCUAGGUGUAAACGCUGUGGACUUGAUGUUGGGGGCGCUCCGAGCGCACUCAGUGUCGAAGCGAAGGUGAUAAGUCCACUGCCUGGGGAGUACGUUC
rnacentral:rRNA from 1 species